rnacentral:lncRNA from 1 species
UACCCGAGUAACUGAAGUAAGUAACCCAGCCUACCCUAGGUAUGAUAGAAGUAGAAGAAGGUUUACCAACCCCUAGUAAACACAUAGCUUCCCUUUUGCCCCAACCCACUCAAUAAGUACUUACAGCUACUCAGCAUACAAAUCCGCCCCUUAUGGGUUAAAGGCCCCAACAAGUCGUAUUGAAUAGAGGCAUCCUUCCCCUCUUGCUACAAAGACAGAUUCAAAAAGCAAGUAAGUAAACCAUCCACACAAGCAAGUAAGUAAUAAACAAAAGGCACUGAAGCCUACCCGACCCGAGUCAAAGAAUUCCACCAGUAAAUCCAAUACUAUAGCCACUAACCGGUCUUCUUCUCUGCCAUCUAGGGCAACUAAGUAGUUCAAGUCAUUAUUUCACUCAGUAGUAACAGAAAGUCAGAGAUAAACUCAUAAGUAGGAAUGGAAUUAUUGGCCCUUAUAUUAAGUAGGAGAAGUAGAUGAGCUAGAUAACGAUUCCUGCCCUGUCAAAAGGACAAGCAAAUGCACCCUAAAUUCUUAUAUUCGUAAGAAAACUCCAUUCUUAAAGGAAGGAAAGAGCAACCAAGCAACAGUAGCAAGAGGUAUAGUCAUUCUCAGUAUCAGUAUGAACCCUUACUCUUUCUACUUGCCCGAUCUAGUAGUAGCUAGGCGGGAUGAAACAAUAAAGUAGGAAAGUCAGAGACGAGCAGACAAGCCGAACUCCAGUCCGAUCCUAUUUCUCUAUUUGCUAUGAGCCAAGUAACGACUAGAAAAGUGUUACAGAAGUAAGCAUACUGAGGCCAAGCUAC